GGGACCUAAUUUCAUGUAAGUACUCAAUUGUCCCCACAGCAUUUGCCAGAGUCUGUUUCCCCCCAGUGAUGUGCUCUGCCCCGUCUGUCAUACAAAAAACUAAAAAAUUCAGAAAUGUUGGGUGUGCUGGGCCAACUGCAUACCGCAUUAAAUACACAAUUAAGUCCCCAUAUAUACUUCUUUAUCUUUAGGAGUGAAUUGGUUACUCUCAGUUCUUUGCUUUGAUUCCAAUUUAUGUGAAUCUAUAGCUUAUUUGAGAGCUCAUUCCUAUCUAUUAACAAGGUAUAACUCUCCAUUUAUUUAUUCCACAGCAUCUUUCUACAAAAUUUAAGAAUUUUUUUUCUUUUCUUUUUUUUUUUUUUUUUUUGAGAAAGAGUCUCGCUCUGUCACCCAGGCUGGACUGUGGUGGCGCAAUCCCUGCUCACCGCAAGCUCCGCCUCCCAGGUUCACGCCAUUCUCCCGCCUCAGCCUCCCAAGUAGCUGGGACUACAGGAGCCCGCCACCACGCCCGGCUAAUAUUUUUGUGUUUUUAGUAGAGACGGGGUUUCAUCUUGUUAGCCAGGAUGGUCUCGAUCUCCUGACCUCGUGAUCCGCCCACCUCGGCCUCCCAAUGUGGUGGGAUUACAGGCGUGAGCUACCGCUCCCGGCUAAUUUUAGAAUUUUUUAAAAAGGGUCAUUCAUAUUUUUGGUUGGAUCUUUUUAUUAGAUUUUUUAUUUAUUCCUAAUGUGUAGAAAUGUAGUUUUUACAUAUUGAUCUUAUAUCUACUAACAGUGCCAAGCCUUUUUUUCUUCUAAUAAUUUGAAUGUAAAUUCUUUUGGAUUUUCUACGUAAAUAAUUGUAUCAUCUGUGAUUUAUAAAGGCUUUUUUUCCCCCUUUUCAAUCCUUAUAUCUUAACGGAAAUGUUUUUAAUGUAUUUUUAUUAUUAUUAUACAGUUUUGAUCCCUUUAUGAGGCAAAGAAAUUUCCCUUCUAUUCCUAGUUUCCUAGAAGAUUUUACCACAAGUGAGUAUUGUAAUUUAGCAAAUGCUUUUUCUGUACUAAUUGAGAUGAUCGUAUGGAGUUUCUUUUAUAAUUUAUGAGGUGAAUUAUCUCAGUAGGUUUUUUGUUUUGUCUGCAAUAAGCCAAGCUUGCAAUUCUGGAACAAAUUCUAUCUCAUCAGGAUAUGUUAUGCUUUUUCAUAUUUAUUCUGUCAAAAUCUUGUGAUUGUUUUGAAUCUAUGUUUAUGAGUGAUAGUCUAUUUUUUUUCUAUACGGUCUUUGUCUAAUUUUAAUUCAAAGUCAUGUUUACCUGCUUAAUCAUUUUGGAUAAUACUUCCUUCUUUUUAAUCAGAAAAACUUUCUAGACAUUUGAAAUAAUCUGUUCCUUGAAAGUUUAAUAGAAUUUGGCUCUAAUAUGUAUAGGCCUGGUCUUCGUUUAAUGGGAAGACAGUAAGACAUAGAUGUUGAUAGUGUUUGUAUCAUUUUGCAUGCCCACCAAUAAUGUGUAAAGUACCCACUUCCCCACAGCCUUGCCAACAGAGUAUAUUGUCAAUAUUUUAGGAGGGUUUUUUU
rnacentral:lncRNA from 10 species